AAACAGAUUGAUAACGUUAGAAUUGGUAAGG
rnacentral:piRNA from 1 species